AGCCCGCUGCAGAGGCACAGCAUCAUGGAAAAUCUCUACUAGAACAAUGCACCUGUGGUUUUGCAGGUUUUAGCCCCCACAGCCGCUCUAUGGACUGGGCUAGUGUUGAGUGCCUGUAGCUUUUUCACAUUGAGGUGCAAGCUGUUGGUGGGUCUAUGAAUCAGGGGUCUGGAGGGUGGUGGCUUCCUGUGUGGGGGCUCCAAGCCCAUAUUUUCCUUCUGUACUGCCCUAGGAGAGGUUUCCCAUAAGGCUCUGCCUCUGCAGCAGGCUUCUGCCUGGAAACUGUGGGAGGUAGAGUGAGGGUGCGGGCGGAUCCGUCACCCAUGGUUAAGCACCAUCUUCUUGAGAUGCUGUCCUCCUGAUAGUGAGUGCUCAUGAGAUCUGCUUGUAUAACAGGGUGUGGCACCUCUUUCCUCUCUCAGUCGUGCUCCUACUCCUGCCAUAUGAAACAUCUCUUUGCCCCUUGACCUUCCGGUAUGACUGGGAGGCUUCCUGAUUCCUCCCCCAGAAGCCGCUAUGCAUUUUUUACAGCUUGCAGAACCAUGAGGCUAUUCAACCUCUUAUGAUCAUGCAGAAAAUUAGUACUGUGAAGUGGAGCUAUGAAGUGCCUUCUAGUCCUUUUCCGCAUUGUCUUGGCAACCAGCACUCAGCUUCUUUUCAUGCCAAUAUCUGAAGCCUUCAUGAAUGUUCCCCCAGAAAAUGAACUUUUCUUCUUUUACCUCUAACAAAGAUAGAGGCAGUGCCUAGCGCAGAGCCGCGCUAGCGAUGAGGGAGAUCGUGUACAUCCAGGCGGGCCAGUGCGGGAACCAGAUCGGCACCAAGUUUUGGGAAGUGAUCAGCGAUGAGCACGGCAUCUACCCGGCCGGUGGCUACGUGGGAGACUCAGCGCUGCAACUGGAGAGAAUCAACGUCUACUACAAUGAGUCAUCGUCUCAGAAAUAUGUGCCCAGGGACGCCCUGGUGGACUUAGAGCCAGGCCCCCUGGAGAGCGUGCGCUCUGGGCCUUUCGGGCAGCUUUUCCGGCCUGACAACUUCAUCUUUGGCCAGACGGGCGCAGGGAACAACUGGGGGAAGGGGCACUACACCGAGGGCGCGAAGCUGGUAGACGCAGUGCUGGAUGUGGUGCGGAAAGAGUGCGAGCACUGCGACUGCCCGCAGGGCUUCCAGCUCACACACUCGGUGGGCGGCGGCACGGGCUCGGGCAUGGGAGCGCUGCUCAUCAGCAAGAUUCGCGAGGAGUUCCCGGACCGCGUCAUGAACACCUUCAGCGUCAUGCCCUCGCCCAAGGUGUCGGACACGGUGGUGGAGCCCUACAAUGCCACGCUGUCGGUGCACCAGCUGGUGGAAAAUACCGAUGAGACCCCACUGCAUCGACAACGAGGCGCUCUACAACAAUUGCUUCCGCACCCUCAAGCUGACCACGCCCACCUACGGGGACCUCAACCACCCCGGGGUGGUGUCAGCCACCAUGAGUGGGGUCACCACCUCGCUGCGCUUCCCAGGCCAGCUCGACGCCGACCUGUGCAAGCUGGCGGUGAACAUGGUGCCCUUCCCAUGCCUGCACUUCUUCAUGCCCGGCUUUGCGUCACUUACCAGCCGCGGCAGCCAGCCGCGACCUGACCCUGACCGUGCCCGAGCUCACCCAGCAGAUGUUCGACGCCAGGAACAUGAUGGCCGUCUACGACCCCCGCCGUGGCCGCUACCUGACCGUGGCCACCGUGUUCCGUGGCCCCAUGUCCAUGAAGGAGGUGGACGAACAGAUGCUGGCCAUCCAGAGUAAGAACAGAAGCUACUUCGGGGAGUGGAUCCCCAACAACAUGAAGGCGGCCAUGUGUGACAUCCCGCCUCGCGGCCUGAAGAUGGCCUCAACGUUCAUCGGCAACAGCACGGCUAUCCAGGAGCUGUUCAAGCACAUCUCCGAGCAGUUCUCAGCCAUGUUCCGGUGCAGGGCCUUCCUGCACUGGUUCACCGGCGAGGGCAUGGAUGAGAUGGAGUUCACCGAGGCCGAGUGCAACAUCAACGACCUGGUGUCCGAGUACCAGCAAUACUAGGAUGCCACCAUCAACCAUGGGGAGGAAGCUUUUGAGGAUGAAGAAGAGGAGAUGGAUGGAUAGGUGGAAUAGAGGAGCCGCCCCAGCUCGGAUCCUACAGUAGGCAAGUUCCUUCUUGAACCCUGGUGCCUUCUACCCCAUGACCCUGAAUGGUGCAGUAGCCUAGGUGUGUUGGUGUUGGUCCCUCACAAAUGCAGCCAAGUCACGUAAUCAGUCAUCUGGAACAAAGACAAUACUUUAAAACAGCAGAGAAUUGUGGGUUCUACCCAGUCAGAAGAUAACACUAUGGAGAUUUUCUACUAGAGGAUUUGAAAGAGAACUGAGGGGCCACGAAAUAAACUUCACCUUUCAUUAAGUGUUCAAGCGUGUCUGAUAAUUAGCAGGGGAGUUAGGAACAGUCAUUUUCAUCCUUUGCAAUGAAGCCUGAAGGUGUGCCGUGUUGCCUUAUUUCAAUAUGCAGUAUGGGACUUUGAAAUAAUUGAUUCAUAAUAAAAUACUAAAUGUGUGUCUUCAAAAAAAAAAAAACAAAGCUUAAAAUGUAGAAGCAGGUUCAGAAGUGGAUAAAAGAGGCUGGGAGAGUUGGGAAAUCUUAAAAGACGGCAAGAUGAGGAAAUGUUUGGACACCUGUAGAGAAUUGUUAAAUACUUGCUGACAGAGGACAGACACUGAGGGCCAGACUUAAAAGGUCUUAGAUAAAAAUGAGGAAUUUCCUGUGAACAGGAGCCAAGGAUACAAUUGAUUGGCCUUAGCAAAAAAACGUGGCUGCACCAUGACCCUGCCCUGGAUAUCUGUGAAACUAUGAACUUGGGAGUGAUGAUUUAGUAUGUAGCUGCUGGAAUGAACAUCUAGGCAGAAGCAUAGCUCUAGAGAUGUCCUGUCUGCAUGGAACAGCCUGUAUUCUUAUGUAUGACCUAAAAAAUGACCUCAAGUUAAAACUUCUAUUUAAAAGAGAAGCAAAGCUCAAAAGUUUGGAAAACUUGCAGCCUGGUCAAGUUGUCAAAAAGAAAAACUGAUUUUCCUGAGAAAGUUUCAAGAAAAUGUAGGUUAUUUGCAUAAAAAGGAGCCCACCACUCCAAAUAGCCAAGAUAAUGGGAAAAGGCCUUGAAGGCAUUUAAGAGACUUUGCAGCAGCCCUUGCAGUCACAGGCCCUGGGGUCUAGGAGAGAAGAAUGGUUUCCUGGGCCAGCUCCAUGGCCCUGCUGCUGAGUGCAUUCUCAGGACACUGCUGCCUGCAACACCACAGCUCCAGCUCCAGCUCCAGCCACGGCUGAAAGACAUCCAGGUAAAUCGUGGGUCACUGCUUCACAGGUGGCUCCAAGCCUUGAUGGCUUCCACAUAGCGUUAAGCCAGCAGGUGCACAGAGCAAGAGACUAGAGGCUUUUGGGAGCCUCCAUCUAGACUCCAGAGGAUAUACAGAAAAACCUGGGUGUCCAGCUAGAAGCUUUUCCAAGAGGCAGAGCCUCAUGGGAAACCUCUACUAGGCCUGCAAAAUGGGACAUAUAGGGUUGAAGCCCUCAUAAAUGGAAGCAUCUUUCUCCAAACCCCAGAUUCAUAGAUCCACCAACAGCUUGCAUUCUCAGUGAGAAAAAGCUAUAGGCACUCAACACCAGCCCACUGCAUGAGUGAACCCACAGGAGCUGAACACUGCAAACCCACAGGUGCAGAUCUGCCCAAGGCCUUGGGAGCCCAGCCCUCACACCCCAGCACCAUGGAUGUGGCACGGGGAUUCAAAAAGGAUAAUUCUGGAGCUGUAGGAUUUAAUGACUGUCCUGCUGGGUUUUGGACUUUCAUGUAUCCUGUGAGUCCCAUUGUGUUUUGUUCUUCUUUCUGGCAAGUUUCUUUCUAUUAAGGGAGAAUGCGUACCCAUUGCCUGUGUAAUCACUGUACUUUAAAAGUAGUUAACUUCCUUUUAAUUCAGAGGCUUAUGGGUAGAAGGGACUAUAGCCUUGUGUUAGAUGAAACUUUGGUCUUUGGAUGUUUGAGUAAAUGCUGGAAUCAAUUAAGAUUUGAGGGGCUGUAGGGAAGGCAUCAUUGUAUUUUGCAAUGUGAGAAAGACAUGAGAUUUGGGGUCCAGGAGCAGAAUAAUAUGUUCUGGUUUUGUGUCCCUACCAAAACUCAUGUGGAAUUGUAAUGGGAAAUGUUAAAGGUGGGGGCUGAUGGAAGGUGAUUUAAUUGUGGUGGAGAGUGGAGGUUGGAAGGUGGGGGUCAUGGGGA